UCCAGCUCUCAGUCAGCUGUCCAGGCAGCGUGUGCCUGGACCAGUGUUAUAGAGCUGGUAAAGAGAUGCUCUGUCUGGGCUCUCUGCAGCAGCUUCUGUUUUAGAGUCUGCUGCUGCUGAGCUCCUGCAGGGCUUGGCCCAAUGAGAGUGGCCUGUCCUGAUGAACACAGCAGGGCAGGCCUAGUGCAGGGCCACACAUA